UACACCUACGGGGCGCAGCAGUAGGGAAUAUUGCUCAAUGGGGGAAACCCUGAAGCAGCAACGCCGCGUGGAGGAUGAAGGUUUUCGGAUUGUAAACUCCUUUUGUUAGAGAAGAUAAUGACGGUAUCUAACGAAUAAGCAUCGGCUAACUCCGUGCCAGCAGCCGCGGUAAUACGGGGGAUGCGAGCGUUAUCCGGAUUUAUUGGGUUUAAAGGGUGCGUAGGCGGCGCUUCAGGUCAGCGGUGAAAUACCGGGGCUCAACCCCGGGGCUGCCGUUGAAACCGGAGCGCUAGAAUUCCGAUGCC
rnacentral:rRNA from 1 species